rnacentral:rRNA from 1 species
UACGGGGGGGAGCAAGCGUUGUUCGGAUUUACUGGGCGUAAAGGGCGCGUAGGCGGCGCAACAAGUCACUUGUGAAAUCUCCGGGCUUAACCCGGAGCGGCCAAGUGAUACUGUCGUGCUAGAGUGCGGAAGGGGCUACUGGAAUUCUCGGUGUAGCGGUGAAAUGCGUAGAUAUCGAGAGGAACACCUGCGGCGAAGGCGGGUAGCUGGGCCGACACUGACGCUGAAGCGCGAAGGCGUGGGGAGCAAACAGG